rnacentral:rRNA from 1 species
UAGAAUUUCAUAGAGAUAUGAGAGGGAGCAUGUGAAUAUUUGACCUAUCAACUGGGGAUGGUAGUAUAGGGGACUACGAUGGUGGUGACGGGUGACGGAGGAUCAGGGUUUGAAACCGGAGAGGGGGCCUGAGAGAUGGCCACCACUUCUAAGGAAGGCAGCAGGCGCG